GAUGAACGCUGGCGGCGUGCCUAAUACAUGCAAGUCGAGCGAACGACGAGGAGCUUGCUCCUCUGACGUUAGCGGCGGACGGGUGAGUAACACGUGGAUAACCUACCUAUAAGACUGGGAUAACUUCGGGAAACCGGAGCUAAUACCGGAUAAUAUAUUUAACCGCAUGGUUCAAUAGUGAAAGACGGUUUUGCUGUCACUUAUAGAUGGAUCCGCGCCGCAUUAGCUAGUUGGUAAGGUAACGGCUUACCAAGGCAACGAUGCGUAGCCGACCUGAGAGGGUGAUCGGCCACACUGGAACUGAGACACGGUCCAGACUCCUACGGGAGGCAGCAGUAGGGAAUCUUCCGCAAUGGGCGAAAGCCUGACGGAGCAACGCCGCGUGAGUGAUGAAGGUCUUCGGAUCGUAAAACUCUGUUAUUAGGGAAGAACAAAUGUGUAAGUAACUAUGCACGUCUUGACGGUACCUAAUCAGAAAGCCACGGCUAACUACGUG
rnacentral:rRNA from 1 species